AAGCUUUCCUGUCUUCCCAUGAUGUGGCCAAAAUAUUUCAACUUUGCCUCUAAUAUCCUUCCCUCCAGUGAGCAGCCGGGCAUUAUUUCCCGGAUGAUGGACUGGUUGGAUCUUCUUGCGGUCCCAGGAUUUUCCUCCAGCACCAGAGUUCAAAAGCGUCUAUCUUCCUUCGGUCAACCUUCCUUAUGGUCCAGCUCUCGCAACCAUAGGUUACUAUGGGGAAUAUCAUUGCUUUGACUAUGCGGACCUUCGUUGCCAGUGUGAUGUCUCUGCUCUUCACUAUUUUAUCAAAGUUGGCCAUUGCUCUCCUCCCAAGAAGUAAACGUCUUCUGAUUUCCUGGCUGCAGUCUGCAUCUGCAGUGAUCUUCGCGCCUAGAAAUAUAAAGUCUGUCACUGCCUCCACAUUUUCUCCCUCUAUUUGCCAGUUAUCAAUAGGUGUGCUUGCCAUGAUCUUGGUUUUCUUGACAUUUAACUGCAACCCAGCUUUUGCACUUUCUUCUUUCACCUUGGUGAUAAGGCUCCUCAGCUCCUCCUCACUUUCGGCCAUCAGAGUGGUAUCAUCUGCAUACCUAAGGUUGUUAAUGUUUUUUCUAGCAAUUUUAAUUCUGGCCUUGGAAUCGUCAAGCCUCGCACGUUGCAUGAUAUGUUCUGCGUACAAGUUGAAUAGGUAGAGUGAAAGUAUGCAGCCCUGUCGUACUCCUUUCCCAAUCUUGAACCAGUCUGUUGUUCCGUGGUCUGUUCUUACUAUGGUUACUUGGUCUUUAUACAGAUUUCUCAGGAGACAGACAAGGUGACUUGGUAUCCCCAUACCACCAAGAACAUGCCACAGUUUAUUAUGAUCCAUACAGUUGAAGGUUUUAGAAUAGUCAAUAAAGCAGAAGUAGAUGUUUUUCUGAAACUCCUCGGCUUCCUCCAUUAUCCAGUGGGUAUUGGCAAUUUGGUCUCUCAUUCUUCUGCCUUUUCUGAACCCAGCUUGGACACCUGGAGAUGAGACCCAAUCAAAAUCCAAAAUCUAUUUAUGUUUCAUGUAGCCUGAAGGUAUUUUUUUAAACAAUAUUUUAAAUUAUUUUGUGCCAUCAGAAAGCAAAGGUGCUUCUAAUUCAGUUACCCAUGUAGACAAUUUUGAAUUCUGGGGCAUUUUGGCUUCCCAAAUAAGUGUACUUAACCAGUACAAACUUCUUAGAUAUAGUCUUCAGACUACAGACCCAACUUUCAAGUGCCAAAGUCUGAAAUCCACAACCACAUCACAGCAGGACUCUCUAGAGCUUAACCUUCCUCUUUUAGGGAUUGAAGACAAGUCUAUACUGGCUGGUAAAUCCAUAGCCAGACCAGAGCAGAAAUGAUCUAGAUUGGCUGAACCUGCUGCACUGCCAAGUUAGUGUCCAUAUGGUUCAGUUGGGCCAAGACUGCAUGGGCCUUGCUGGAUCAUCAACUAACCCUUCGUGUCUCUGUCACUAUGGUAUUUCCCCUCUUUAUUCCUGUUCAUGUUAGCACUUCUGUUGAUGUCAGAAUGGGGUGCUCACUAUGACCAGGAUUGUGCAUGGAGAUCUGAUAUUGACUGGAAGUUAUAAUGAUGAUGAAACAGGCACAAUUUAUCCUCUUUUCAAUGUACUGAUGAGCACAGGGCAAGGAUGAAGGUGUUCAUGUCCUGUCUGGAGAGCAGACCUGUCUGAGUCUGACCCAAUACAACUGUUCACACAUCUGCGAAGAUCUGGGCUAUUUUGGAGUUGCUUUCUAGCAAGUAUUUACUGACUUGUUGGUUUAAUUUCUGAUACUGGAAGCAAUAGAAUGUUGUGGGGACAGCUAGAAGUCAAUUCAAGGUGAGUCUGAGUUUUUUUGCCAUGUAUUUCUUGCUCGUACUGUACAUUUGUUAAAGAGAGAAAUAUUCUAAGACUCAUUUUGUGAGUAAAUGCAUUGCUUUGAAAGGUACAUAGUCUUUUAGUAGGUUUGCGUCCUUUAUAUUCUAUGCACAAUCUCUGCAGAGCCAAAUUUUAUAUUACUAGAAAUGCUUUCAUAAUUACACUAACCAUGUGGGAACCGAAAUUGUUUAUUAGAGAACAGACCUCGUCAAAAAAUAGCUAUUGCCACUUAUUGUAUUCUAAAUAACAAUUAAACAUUCUCUUUGCUUUUGGGUUAGAAAGGUUAACAAUCUCUAGAGAUAAAUUGCUCCAAGCAAAGUAGAGGUAUGUGUUGUUACUACUAAAGAACAUGUCAAAUGUUAUAGCUUCUGUGAGCCAUAGCUCCUUCAAUUUUAGAUGAGAUAAAGGUACACAAUCAGCAGCCCUAUUAGAACUCUCAUGUUCUUUUUGUCAAUCCACUGCACCCAUUUUGGUAGACCUCACCGGGAAAUUAAAUAAUCCUGACUGACAACUGACACAUUAAUUGCCUUUGAGGGAGCACACCUUUAAAAAAGUAGUAAUUUAAAGUCUUCUGCUUUGGAGAAAGAACCAAUUUACAGCAUCAUCAGUCAGGGUUUUGACAUGUAACUUUGCACUUGCCAUUUUGUUAAUAAAGAAUCACACUCAAAUCCUGAGAGAGAGUUUCCCUGAAGAGAAACUUAGAUGUCUUUGUGAAAUUAAGAUGACUUUGAUAGGGACAUGUAAUGAAUGUUUAAAUGAGUUAUUAACCUUUCAUGCCUUCAGUGGAUAUUACUGUGAGACAAUUCAUCAUUGUAUUGUCAUAAACUGCAAAAAAGGUGAAUAUUGUCAAAAAAUCAUUUUGUGAAAAACCUUUAUUUCUAUCUCAUCUUGAGUAUAGAACCAAUAUACUUGCAUAGAGAAAUGAAAUAAUCCUGCAAGCUAAAGCAAGAAAAAAUAUUUCUAUGUAUAUAAUGGGAAGUGGAUUAAAAACAAGUGGUUCAAUGAGUUAAAGAGAAAGAGCAUAUCAAUAUUUUUAGGUUAUUAAUAAUUAGGCUUAUGCACUGAUCACAGGAUUUAGUGAGAAUCUUAAUCUGACAUUUCAGAUAACAGAUUGCUUCCAUUUGGACCAUUUCAGAAACUAUCUUCAUAGAUGUCACUAGAAAGUGUGAAUAGUGCAUAUCACACCAGGUGACACCAUCAGAGGAGGGUGACAUUAAAAUAACUGCAGCGGGAAAAAGGCCAAAUAGAACGACACAAUGAAUUUCUACACUGGGUGAAAUCAAAGCUACUGAUGUCACUGACUGUUCUAUUUAUCUCAUAUCCCAAGCCUAAUCUGAAAUUUUGAAAUCUGAAAAAAAAAAUGGUUUCCACUAUCACUAGAAAUCAAAACAUUGUUGAAACCUCCUGCCCAUUUAUCACAACUGGAAAUAUAUGGCAGUCACAGUUACCCUUUCAGAGAUUAUACCUGCUCAUUCAUUACAAAUUUUUGUACAGUGCAUUACUUUUAGGGAAAUUCAUUAGAGAUGAAUUUGUAUGUUACAGACAGAAUGGGGGAAGGGCUGUGUUACUUAUCUGGUUAAUUGGUUCUGGAUAUUCCAUAAGACAUGCUGUGGAACUAUCCAAAUUUCCUCAACAAAGUGUAGAUAAGGAAUAGACGGCAUACAAGAAGCCAAUAUUUAAUCAAAUAAGAGUUGGCAAAGAAGAGAUAAUGGAAAUAAACUCCAAACAACACUCCUAAGGGAAAGAAAAGAUUUGUUUAAAAGCCAUACAUUGAUCAAGCUGCCUCACUUCAAAAAGAAAUAUUUUACAGUACUUGAUUUAGGCUGUUUUUAAAAGAACUUGGCAGUUAGCCUCAUUAAACUCAAUGUGAUUUACCUCUUCAUGAACAUGUAUAGCAUAGCAUUGUUAGAACAGAAUGAAAAUUAUUGCAAAUGUACAUAUGUUAGUGUUGCAUUGAAGGAAAUAUAAGUGUUGGCCUUGAAUUAAGGGCAGAUUUUCUAGCUUUAAAGCUUUGUGACCAUACAAUGAACCUUGUUGACCUGGAAAAUGGACCUCAAGAUUCCUAUAGUUCUCCCUUUGAAAGAAAGCAAACCACUCACUGCUUUUCCACUUCCCAAAUACAACAUAAUCCCCAUAGGGUACUCAAUAUGUAAUGCUGCUUUCAUGUAUGUCAACUAUUCCUUCUGAAUAUGGAAAAGAAUUAAUGGAAACAUUUUUUUUUCUGGAAUGAAUGCUCAUCAUGGUUGCUAAAAUUAGUCUUUGUGCCCAAGGAAAUCUUAAAGAUGACACAAAAAUAAUUUCUAGCAACUGUAACUAUCAUCCUGUACUGUUUCAGAUAUGUAACUCUGUCCAAUAUCUGCUUCUUAUCCUCAGAAUCCACAUAAUGUUUGUAAGAACCAAGGCUGAUGGAUCAAUAUAGUAUGCUCAUAAAAUACUAUAUUCUGACUACUUGUUUUCUUGAUCUAUUUUUAUAUAUUGCAUCAACUGUUCACUCUUGUAUAUGUGUGCAGGUUUCAAGAUCACAACUACUACAAAAUGAAUGCAUCUGUUCAGAGCCAGCCCUAGGUAUUUUUCAAGUGUAGGCAAACAGAAUUUUGGCACCUCCCCCCCAAACCAAUCACUGAAAAAUAAAAGUGUUGGAUAAGUGAAAAUGUUGGAUAAUAAGGGAUUAAGGAAAAGCCUAUUAAACAUCAAAUUACAUUAAGAUUUUACAAAUUACAAGAAAUCAACAGAAAAAGCAGUCUCGACUGCGCCCCCGUAUGUUUUGCGCCCGAAGCGACUGCUUAAUUCGCCUCAUUGUUGGACUGGCUCUGCAUGUGUUAAUCUUACACAUAAUAUACAAGAUUAAUCUUUCUUUCAUUUUGUUGUUACUUCACCUCUGUAAUUCUAUUGGAGUAAAAGAGAGCUAAGAACCAAUCAGCACAGCCAUAGGGCUUGCAUACACUUGUAAAAACUCCUGGAAUCACUUAAAUGGAAGAUUGGCUGUCUUCAUAAUGUACAAUGACUUCUGAAGGACCACCUUGAGCUCAAACCUCAUUUAUCUCUCUCCCAACAGAGAGCUGAUGGAGAUGAUCAUGAGAAACUUGAUUGAAGGAAAAACUUGAGAAAAAUGUGGGCAAAACAAUGACAGCCAGUUAUAACAAGGUUCCACUUGCUGAAAAGUGGCUUCCCCUUAUUGAAUAGGUUAAUGUCCAUUGGCAAAAAGUUCUUACCUCUCACAGCAUCAGAACUUAAGGGGGGAAAUCUGUCUAAGUAUGGUAAGGCUUGUUCUAAACGAUUUUAAUUAAUAUAUUGAUUGAUAAGUUGUCGUUGUUGAUAUUCUUUUUUUCCAAAAGAACCCUCUUUAUUCCACUAAGCUGCUUGAUUUUUGAGUGCUUUUCAGUGAGGACAUUCAGAUGAUAGAGGUCUCAUGAAAGGCAUAUCACCUAGUCUAUUGCACAACAGUAACAAAAACCAACAAAAAUUGUGACAGUAGUUGUUCAGUGUCUUUUUUCUUAAAGUUUGUGUCACUAAAACUGUGAACAAUUCACAUCCUAUCCCUAGCAUCUCUGACUUCCAUCUCUAACAGCUAUCCACAUGCAUUUCCCCAUCUCUCCCUCCCAACCUUCUUCUUCACAAUUUUUCAUUUCUUCUUACAAAACAAGAUACUACUUUUUCCUCAACUGGCUUCUCUAUAUUGUCACUCUUUAUAAUUCCACCUAUCAUUUUAUCAUACUUUCCCGCUGUCAAAACAUUCUUCAGUUCAUUCUUGUGUUUCAGUAUUUUUGGAGUUGAGUAUCCCAUAUGGAGAUAACAGCCUGUAAGUUGGAAUCCUGUAACAUGACUGACCUCCUGUUAGAAAAUGAAGAUUAACUCUUGACAUAUUGUUACAGGUCCCAUUUUUAAGAGGUUUCCUGAAAUCAAAAAUUUCAAGAAAAAAAUCGCAAAGAGAUAUUAAACAUUUCAAUGGCCUUUCCUUAAGAUUGUAUCAAAUUUCAUUUGUCUUUAAUAGAGUACAAUUUUAAAAAGUAAAUUAAGAUGCUUUGUAUUUUUAUAUAAUGGAUUUAAAUAUGAAUUUUAAUGUUGUUUAUGUACUGAACUGUUUGUGUCUCCCUGUAUUGUAUGUAUCAAUAUAAAGAGGUCUCAAUUUAGAAAUGUUUAGCAUUAUUCAAUAUUUUAUUUUAUUCAAUAAUUUAUUACUUAGUAAUGCCAUUUCAUAGCAUUAUUUAUAUUGAAAGAAAAUGAUAGUGAGCUUCACAAUUGGUUCUUUUCCACAGGCAAACAUGUUGCCUUUAAUUAUAUAGCAAUAUUUUCUUCUUGGUAUGAACUUUUUUCUUUUUACAAAACAAAAACAAUUGUCUCCCUGUACUAUAAAAUCUGAAACAAUUCACAAAGUGCAAUUAAGCUGUCAGAUGUACUUCCUUAUGGUAUAAGAAACAAUAUUGGAUGCAGGGAUAUAGCUGUUAUCCCAAGAUUUUGCAUUAUGUUUUGUAAAUUAGGGUUGGACUAAAUUGAAUGUACUGUAUUCUUUGCCAUGUAUUCAACAGCUGCUCUUAAUACCCAUUAAAUUCAGUGUACAUAGGCUCAUAUUAUUUUAUGUAAAAAACCUAUAAAAUAUUUAUAAGGCGAUGAUGCAACUGUACAAUUAAUUACAUUUGUGACUCUCUGCUCCAUUGAAAAUAUUUAUUGCACCAUGAGAAGAUAUGUAAAUUGGUAAAACAGAGGAGGAAAAAUAAAGCAAUUUUAAUGUG